rnacentral:rRNA from 1 species
GUAAUGUCUGGGAAACUGCCUGAUGGAGGGGGAUAACUACUGGAAACGGUGGCUAAUACCGCAUAACGUCGCAAGACCAAAGAGGGGGACCUUCGGGCCUCUUGCCAUCAGAUGUGCCCAGAUGGGAUUAGCUAGUUGGUGAGGUAACGGCUCACCAAGGCGACGAUCCCUAGCUGGUCUGAGAGGAUGACCAGCCACACUGGAACUGAGACACGGUCCAGACUCCUACGGGAGGCAGCAGUGGGGAAUAUUGCACAAUGGGCGCAAGCCUGAUGCAGCCAUGCCGCGUGUAUGAAGAAGGCCUUCGGGUUGUAAAGUACUUUCAGCGGGGAGGAAGGUGUUGUGGUUAAUAACCGCAGCAAUUGACGUUACCCGCAGAAGAAGCACCGGCUAACUCCGUGCCAGCAGCCGCGGUAAUACGGAGGGUGCAAGCGUUAAUCGGAAUUACUGGGCGUAAAGCGCACGCAGGCGGUCUGUCAAGUCGGAUGUGAAAUCCCCGGGCUCAACCUGGGAACUGCAUUCGAAACUGGCAGGCUUGAGUCUUGUAGAG